GUCUCUUUGGUCCCACCAUGGAAAGACACAGCAAGUAGGCGGCCAUCUGCAGACCAGGAAGAGGCCUCCCACCAGGAACCAAGUCAGCCGGCAUCUCAAUCCUGGACUUCCAGCCUCCAGAAUGGUGUUCCUAUAAGACAGAAAGAGAUUUGACACACAUGCAGAGGAGAAGACAAUGGGGUGAAGGGCAGAAAAAGAUUUGAAGAUGCUGGCUGUGAAGAUUAGAGGGAUGUGGCCACAAGCCAAGGACUGCCAGCAGCCACCGGAAGCUGGAGGAGGCAAGAAAUGGAGGCCCUCGAGGCUCUGGAGAGAGCACAACCCUAUCAGCACUUAUCACUGAUACUGAUUUUGAACUUCUGGACUCCAUAACUGUGAGGGAAUGGAAUAUGUCCCUGCCCAUUGAUGCAGGGCAUGGCUGUGAGACUUGUUGUCACCUCAAGGUGAAUGGGAAGUGCACUUCUGCCCCCGACUUUGGACUCAGCCUCAUGACUUGGUCUGGCCAAUAGUAUGUUGGUGCAUAUGCGGCAAGCAGAAGCCUGAGAUGUGCUUCAUGGGUGGGCUUGUCUUCCUCUGCUUCCGCCAUGGCCACGGAAGAACGUGCCCUGGGCAUCCUGCUGGUCUCAGGAGAAUGAGAGCCCCAGGCACCAACUGGAACAGAGGCCACAGCCUGGAGCUCUGCCGAGAGAGCUCGCACCAGCUCAGCUCCACCCCAGGCAGCCUGCACACACGGGGAUGAUAAAUACAUGCUUGUUAUUUAUCCCACUGAGAU
rnacentral:lncRNA from 1 species